CAUCCCUUAUGGGUGCGAAAAGCUAGAUAUUUUCUGCUGUUUGGGUUCACUGGGAUUUGGAAAAAUCCAGAUUUCAAAUCUAAAAUUGAAAAAUAUCUUGCUCCUGCAAGUUGAGCAAAGAUGUAAUCCAUAGGGGGAAUGUUGUAAGGCUCUACUCCAAUUAAUCUUGAGUUAAUGGGGCGACUGUCUAUGCAGAGGCGGUAUGCUUCAGCUUCCUCUUGCGCUUGCUGUUGUAUAGAUUUAUCAGGGGGUUCUUUGUCUUGCUGCUUUUUUACAUUUUGACUUUUCUUGACCAAAACUGGGGCACAUAAAAAGUCUGAAUUUGAGGGCUCUAUUAUAUCAUCCUCGAGUAGCUCAUUGACUUUGAUUUCUAAUAUCUUCCUCAUUUUUGCAUUCAUAGGACGCAGUGGUGCCUGGUAUGGUGGGCCUUCUUGAACUUGAAGGACUUGCUCAACGCCUUUUGCAAGCCCUGGCUUUUCUGAAAAAACGCCCUUGGAUUGGAAAAUGGUGACAAUUUGAGCGAUCUGAUUCUUCGAGUCGCACUCUAUUUUGUCUAGCAAGAGGCAUAGCUUUUGAGAAUGGAUGUUCCUCAUUGGGAGUACUUGUAUGGAACCAGCCAGUGGGUGUGACAGCAAUCUUUGCUUGCCGCAAGAAAUCUCUCCCAAGUAAAACUUGCUCUGAAUUGUCUGGCACAGCAAAGAAAUUCUGCACAAAAGUGCCUGCAGUUUUAUUCAGUGCAUUGACCAUCUUAUGGCCUUGAUCUGACUGGCGGGGUGUCUGGCCAGUUGGACCUGAUGGCCUCCAUGUUAAGGCGAGUUGGCCUCUUCCUGCGGAACCUUGUCCUGCAGCCAUUGGAAGGCGCUGUGGUUGUGUGCCAGAGCGUUGUUGGAAAUUCACUCUGUUUGGUUGACCCUGCAUUGCAGGACGCACGCCGGGGUUGUAGCCCCUGUGCAUCUGAGGGUUCAGGGACCGCAACGUAACUGGCUGCAGUGAUGUUUGAGUACCAAAUCGACUUUGCGGCUGAUUAUUGUGGACCUGAGGGUACUGUUUUGGAUGUCCACGGUAAGCAAAUGCAGGCUCUGCAAAGUCUGCAGCUGGUGGAGGCGGACGGUAAGUUUUUGUCCUAUAUAAUUCUGCCUGAAUUAGCUUUAAUGACUCAUCUAGUUCUGCCACUGACGUAAAUACGCGUCCUACUGUAUAACGCCUAUAUUCAGGGUGUAACAGGGAAAUCGCCUUUUUUAUUAUGUCAGCGUUAGGGUAGUUUUGGUCGAUCUGUUUGCACAUCAGGUAGAUUUUAUGCAAGAAGACUGAUGGUGGUUCUUCUGCGUGCUGGAAGCGUUUCUCCAGGUCCCUUUUUAACUGCUCUUUGUAGUCAGGCGCGCAAUAUUCUUGCAUAAACGCUUGUUCAAACUGGUCCCAAGAAGUAAAGGUAUGGCUAUAAAUGGUAAACCAGUUGGCAGCCUCCUCCACUAGCGCUGUGGGGAGUCGAUAUUGCACUAGCUGCAGUAGGGAAAUUCCAUGAGCGAUAGCAAUUUGCUUUAUUUGCCUGAUAAAUUCGUAAGGCGAUUUUUUAUCAGCUCUGCCAGAAAAUGAUGGCACUGGAAUUUUUGCAAGCUUGAACAGCGUCGCCUGCGCGUUUUGCGCAGGAGAAAAGCUUCCCUGGUUGGCACUCAGGGUAUUUGGGAAUGCGUGAAAUGCGGCUGACGGUGCAUAUGAGACUGUUGCAGGUUGCGUAAUCUGAAUUCCUGUGGAUUGCGACGCAAUUCCCAAAUUCUGGUUUUGGCCCAAAUUUUGGUUUAUUGGGCUUGAUGUCGCUUGGGGCGCGUAUUGUGGACCACCACUUGAUUGAGAUAAUGUUUGCACUAUCUCUUCUGGCGCAAUUUUAUGCCUCAUCAUCAAGCGCAUCAUUUGAUCCAAAUGCUGAAUGUGGAUCAUUUUGUACAUGGAAAAUUGCGUUUCCUCAUUAAUUUCGUCCCCUGUUGGAGCUCGUGGUCCAAAGGGUGGUUUUUCGGGUGCCCGGAAACCUGUUCCAGUGGCCCCUGUUGUGUUUUCAUCAUGCGCUUUUGCAUGAUCUAUCCCCGCGUGGUUUUCACUUAGGGAGAAAUGCGUACUGUCAAUGUUUACUGUUCCUGACGGCUCAAGGCCCGUCACAGUGAUAUCCGAGUCCCCUUUUUCUGGGGUCCUCGUGGAGUCCAUCUCUGCGGUGUGACUCAUGCCUUCGAAGUCCAAAUCAGUUUUGGAGCUUACUACUUCUACCGCACGCUAUUUAAUAACGUGCGGUGCUCGACUCAGCUUAACGCUCUUCUAUGAGCGCAGCCUUUCUGAGCGUUUCAGCUGCCCAAUUUAAAACAGCUAAUGCCCGGUCUCAAACUGCGGGUGCAAUACACGCAGCGGACAGGCCCCCAAAUGUAACGCGCGUGUCUAGGGAACUUGUGCUACGCGUUACUAUCUGGCGCGGCUUGAAGAGCCGGCGCCCAGAUCUAGCCUGUUCUGCUUUUGGGCUGCGGGAACUCUCUCGUGGGAGUUCCCGCGAUUAAACUGAAUUUGGACUCUUUCGGCUGGUCUGCGGCACCCAGAGCCGGACACUCGCCUUGGUCGAUCUCGUGGUCGACAGGCGGUGUCCUCGAACUCCGUCACUGUCAGACGGACAGUGCACAAAUAUGGAGAUUUACGUUAUUCCAAUGAAUUGCUUUAAGUCAACUUACUCUUCUUCAGGUGAUCUCAAGCAAUCAAACAACUCCUCUUAUCAUUUGAGCACUUGAGUUUUAUUAUACGAAACGACGACCGCCGCCCGCGACGGCCUAACUUACCUUGACCUCCUCCCCGCUCGCUAGCGCACAGAGGGGUCGCCUUAUACAGGUGAUAGAGUGGGAGCAAAAGGUAGUC